GCCUCGGUAGUCUAAUUGGCUAGGAUACUUGCGUGUAAAGCAAGAUGUCCGGAUUUGACUCCCAGCCGAAGUA
rnacentral:tRNA from 1 species